rnacentral:rRNA from 1 species
AUGAAUGCUAGGCUCCUCCGUCCUUUUUCAGUGGAGGAAGUCAGGGCUGCGCUAUUCUCAAUGGGCCCCUCCAAAGCACCAGGUGUGGAUGGCUUCAAUGCCGGGUUUUACCAACGCCAUUAGGAGCUCAUCAAGGAGGAUGUGAUGUCCACGGUUCUUGGUUUCUCAAAUGGUGGCUAUAUGCCGGAGGUAGUGAAUAAAACGGUAAUUGUACUUAUACCAAAAGUAAAGAAUCCUCAAAAUAUUACCCAGUAUAGACCAAUUUCUCUUUGCAAUGUCAUUUACAAGAUCUGUUCUAAAGUUCUAGCUAACCGGUUGAAGGAGAUCUUAGAUGAACUGAUUGCAGAAGAGCAGAGUGCCUUCGUUCCUGGAAGGCUAAUUACAGACAAUGUGCUAACUGCUUAUGAGUGCGUUCACUCGAUGAAGAGGAAGAAAGGGAAGCAGGGCUAUUUUGCUGUGAAGAUUGACAUGAUGAAGGCAUAUGACCGUGUUGAGUGGAUUUAUCUGCAGGGUAUGAUGCAGCAGCUAGGCUUUGAGGAAGCCUGGAUAUCGUUGGUUAUGCGGUGUGUCUCCACAAUGAGUUUUCAGGUGAAGGUAAAUGGGGAGUUAUUACCCUCAUUCAGGCCUACAAGAGGUUUAAGGCAGGGGGAUACAAUCUCCCCAUACUUGUUCCUGCGGUGUGGUGAAGGAUUAUCUUAUAUGCUAAAAAACUAUGAUGGUGGCUGGAUUGAUAGAGGAAUUCAAGUCAGUACAAGAGCUCCAUGGAUAUCCCACUUGCUUUUUGCUGACGAUUGUUUGAUUUUCAUGAAGUUAGAUCACAGGAGUGCUAUGAGAUUAAACUCCAUUCUUCAAGACUACUCUAGUGGUUCUGGUCAGAGUGCCAAUUUUGCAAAAAGUUUGGGUUUUUUUAGUCCGAAUUGUGGUGCUUAUAAUAGAAGAGGAGUGAAGAACAUACUGAACAUCCAACGGGAAGCACUCACAGAGAAAUAUCUUGGCCUCCCUACGGCCGUGGGCAGAUUGACGGAGCAACAUUUUGAGCAUCUCAAUGAGAGAGCUAGAGGGAAGGUACAAGGAUGGUGUGAACGGUUGGCAUCGUGUGCAGCUAGAGAAGUCCUCUUGAAAUCAGUGGUACAAGCGCUACCGACCUACUCCAUGAGUUGUUUCAAACUCACAAAAGGUAUGUGCAAGAAACUCAUUAAGACUAUGUCUAAAUAUUGGUGGGCUGGAUCACUUGACAAAAGAGGAAUGCAUUGGCAAGCUUGGGGAAAAUGGCAAUCCCAAAGUCCAAGGGUGGCAUGGGAUUUAGGGAUAUGGAAGUAUUCAAUGAUGCAAUGUUGGCCAAACAAGCUUGGAGACUGUUGGAAUAUCCUAACAGCUUGUGUGUGA